rnacentral:pre_miRNA from 1 species
CAAAUACUCCCUCCGUUUUAAAUUACUCGUCGCAGAAAUGGAUGUAUCUAGAUGUAUUUUAGUUCUAGAUACAUCCAUUUUUGUGACAAGUAAUUUGGAAUAGAGGGAGUAACAA